rnacentral:rRNA from 1 species
GAUGAACGCUAGCGGCAGGCCUAACACAUGCAAGUCGAGGGGUAGCAGGAUUAAGCUUGCUUAAUUGCUGACGACCGGCGCACGGGUGCGUAACGCGUAUGCAACCUACCUUAUACUGGGGUAUAGCCCGGAGAAAUUCGGAUUAAUCCCCCAUAGUACUAAUGAAUCGCAUGGUUUAUUAGUUAAAGCAUUGCGGUAUAAGAUGGGAUGCGUACUAUUAGGUUGAUGGGGAGGUAACGGCUCACCAUGGCUACGAUAGGUAGGGGGCCUGAGAGGGUGGUCCCCCACACUGGAACUGAGACACGGACCAGACUCCUACGGGAGGCAGCAGUGAGGAAUAUUGGUCAAUGGGCGCAAGCCUGAACCAGCCAUGCCGCGUGCAGGAAGAAUGCCCUAUGGGUUGUAAACUGCUUUUAUUUGGGAAUAAACCUCUUUACGUGUAGAGAGCUGAUGGUACCAAAUGAAUAAGCACCGGCUAACUCCGUGCCAGCCGCCGCGGUAA